GGUCCAUCUUCAUACAAAAGGUCAUUUUAAUGUGCAUUUGAUGAUAAAGGUGUGAAAAUUGCACCAUCGGUAAAGAUUGAAAUUCUGAGCAUUUUUGGAUAGGGACCCCAAAAUUUCCGGCCCAGGUGCUCCCCUGACCCCCCUUCAAAGUUUUCGAUGUAGAGUUGGCGAACUUUGGCCAGCACUACAACACCUAUAAUGGACUCAGACAUCAAAAGUGUACUUAUAUCGCAAAGCUGUGGCCCUCAGCUUUCAAAUGAUACCAAACACUCCACCUUUUGAUAAAAAAUGUAAGACCUAUGAUGUGAGAUAUGUGGUCCGACCCUAUUUCAAGCAAAUUUCGAAAUAUUUGGGAGGUAAGUGAAAAAGGCAAGACAAAGCCAAUUAUGACUAUUUCAAUGGAAGAUGUAAAUAUCGUCAAAUGAUUUCCAUCAAAAAUGUUCCCUUCCCACUUAUUUCCGUUCCUCCCAGGAGGAGCUACAACUAAUUUUCAACCAUUAGGUCUGGAAUGGGAAAAAAUUGAUUCCUUUCUACAUCAUUAUUGCGUCUGGAGCACCUCUUCCGACUAAUUUACACAAUUUCAAUGUGGAAUGACAAUUUCUUGAAAGUAACUAGGUUCAGGACUUCUCACCCAGACGGUUCACCACUCAGAAUGCUUACAUUUCAC